CACUCUAGCUCUAGAGGACACAACAAAAAUGGACCAUUUUGCCCUCUGGGAGGAUUGGAGAACUUUGUUUCCCAUGAUCCCACCGGAAAUCCUCAAGUCUGAUAAUUUUGUUACCCCCACCUUCCUAAAUUAGAAUAUGAAAGUCAUAAUUUGGAAUGUCUGUGGUGCUUCCAGAGACGAUCUUAUCCCUCAUGCCUGGGAUAUAAUCGCGACUCACAAACCGAGUAUUUUUAUUAUACUAGAGGCUAAAAGCAAUGGCAAUCGAGCUGCUAAAGUCAAUAAGCUUUUAGGCUUCGAUGGCCUUAGGUUCGUUGAACCAAACCGUACUAAAGGUUGGAUUUGGUUAAUGUACAAACUCUCGGUUGAUCUUAUUAUUUGUGGCACGAAACAAAGCAAUUAAUUUCAUGCUUUGUUUAAAUUCAAACCAAAUAACCAUGAAGUUUUGCUUACGGGAAUUCACGCUCCUUCUUCUCCUUCUGAGAGACAUCGUCUUUGGAAGGAGAUGCGUGAUGACUUACCCCCUGAUGACACACCAUGGUUGGUUCUUGGUGACCUUAAUGAGGUCAUGUUUCCUAAUGAAAAAAUGGGAGGUUGUUCUUUCUGCCAAUCUCAGGCUAAUGACCUUAGAAUGCUAGUUGAUGCGGCAUGUCUAGUUGAUUUGGGAUUUAAUGGAAAUCCCUAUACUUGGCAUAAUGCGAGAGAAGGGUGCGCUAAUAUAAGGGAGAGACUUGAUCGAGCUUUGGCGAACCCGAUCUGGCUCAAUACCUUUCUAAACACUCAGUUCUCACGGGUGGAUAAGGAUGCUCCCUCAUUUAGCAGCAUGCAGAACUUGGGCACCUCCCCAAAGGGUAUUUUAAAGUCAACACAGAUGGAUCCUGGUUGGCCACAGACAAUGCAGGUGCUGGAGGUAUAAUAAGAUGUGACAAGGGAAAGUGGCAGCUGGGAUUUACAACCAAAAUCAAGACUCUGGGAGCCGAACUAAUUGCAAUCAGGGAAGGUCUUGCUCUUGCUUGGGAUAGACAAAUCAAAUUUGCCAUACCGAUGCUCAAGCCCUGUGUUAUAUGCUUGAGAACCCAAAAGCAUACAUGGACCAUCAGCUUGCAGUAAUUACAAAAGAUGUGGCUGAUCUUCUGCAAAGGCAAUGGUCUAUCACUCUUCUUCAUGUCAAAAGAUCAGCAAACAAGAUUGCACACGGAUUAGCUUCCAUUGGCAAGGAACAAUCAGAUGAUGGAGUGGUUUUAUAUUACACUACUCUUCCCCACCAGCCUUCACUGACAUCUAUAUAAAGGAGUUGAGGUUUUGUCUCGACAUGGCAACUGCAGAAUGAUCCCUUCUAAAGAAUGUUGCUUCAAGUCACAAACUAAGUACCAUUUUCUCACUAAUGCUCUUCUUAGUUUUUCUAGUUUUCCUAGUACUUUUUACUUAAUUUGCUUCAUGUAUUGGCUUCUAAUAGGGACUAGAUUACAGGUCUUGGACUUCAUGCUUGCUAUUUUUCUAACUGUAAGCAUCAUGGAGUUCCAUUUUGUUAGCAUCAAUCUGAUGCAUUUUUCUGGGUGUUUUUUAAGCACCAUAAUGUAAUAUAAGUUCCUUUUCGGUUAAAAAAAAAAAAAAAAAAAAACUAUUACAAAGACUACUCUAAAUCUCUAUUCUCUAACUAUUAGCUCAUUUAGGCGCAUAUGGCAUAUUCGUAUAAGCAUGUUACUGCAGAAGAUUAUAUUAAUGUACACUUCUAUUCCAUGAUCCACCAAGCUUAUAAAGCUUAGUCUAGUGGUAAGGAUUGUAUCUUCCAACCUUGAGGUUGGGGAUCCCCACUAAUGACACUUUGAGGGUGGGAAUCCCUUAACUGGCCUUCCCCCUCACUCUCAAAAUGUCUAUUAUCCUAAAUCAAAUUAACAAUUUAUAUUCCUAAUCUAACUCUAUCAAGUUUACACUAGAUAGCGGCAAGCUAGGGUCGAACCACAAGGAAACGGGAUAUUGCACAAUCAAAGUGGAAUUAAGAAUCUAUUGCAAGUAACAAGGGGUAUUUUGGUUUGUUUUUGUGAAUUUCUAAGAUUAAACUAUCUACCAAAAAGAUUAAAACAAGCAAAAUAAAGAAGUUCAAACUAGAAACACUAAAAUAAAAAUGGAAAACAAGAUUUUAAG